UACGUAGGGGGCAAGCGUUGUCCGGAAUCAUUGGGCGUAAAGAGCGUGUAGGCGGCCAGAUAGGUCUGCCGUGAAAACUCGAGGCUCAACCUCGAGAUGUCGGCGGAAACCAUUUGGCUAGAGUCCGGAAGAGGAAAGUGGAAUUCCUGGUGUAGCGGUGAAAUGCGCAGAUAUCAGGAGGAACACCGGUGGCGAAGGCGGCUCGCUGGGCCAUUCCUGACGCUGAGACGCGAAAGCUAGGGGAGCGAACAGG
rnacentral:rRNA from 1 species